GAUGAACGCUGGCGGUAUGCCUAACACAUGCAAGUCGUACGAGAGUUUUUAACUCUAGUGGCGGACGGGUGAGUAACACGUGAGAAUUUGCCUUUAGGAGGGGGAUAACAAUUGGAAACGAAUGCUAAUACCCCAUAUGCUUUUGAGUGAAAUGGAUUUUAUCCGCCUAGAGAGAAGCUCGCGGCUGAUUAGCUUGUUGGUAAGGUAAGAGCUUACCAAGGCGACGAUCAGUAUCUGGUUUGAGAGGACGAUCAGACACACUGGAACUGAGACACGGUCCAGACUCCUACGGGAGGCAGCAGUGGGGAAUAUUGCACAAUGGGCGAAAGCCUGAUGCAGCAACGCCGCGUCGAGCGAUGAAGGCCUUUGGGUCGUAAAGGCUCUGUCCUUGGGG
rnacentral:rRNA from 1 species